rnacentral:rRNA from 1 species
CCUACGGGAGGCAGCAGUGGGGGAUAUUGCACAAUGGGGGGAACCCUGAUGCAGCGCCGCCGCGUGGGUGAAGGAGCGUUUCGGCGCGUAAAGCUCUAUCGGCAGGGAAGAAGAUUACGGUACGUGACCAAGACGCCCCGGCUAACUCCGUUCCAGCAGCCGCGGUAAUACGUAGGGGGCAAGCGUUAGCCGGAUUUACUGGGGGUAAAGGGGGCGCAGACGGGAAUGCAAGCCAGGAGUGAAAGCCCGGGGCCCAACCCCGGGACUGCUCUUGGAACGGUGUGACUGGAGUAAAGGAGGGGCAGGCGGAAUUCCUGGGGUAGCGGUGAAAUGCGUAGAUAUUAGGAGGAACACCGGUGGCGAAGGCGGCCUGCUGGACUGUGACUGACGUUGAGGCCCGAAGGCGUGGGGAGCAAACAGGAUUAGAUACCCGAGUAGUC